rnacentral:rRNA from 1 species
UACGGGGGGGGCAAGCGUUGUUCGGAAUUACUGGGCGUAAAGGGCUCGUAGGCGGCCAACUAAGUCAGACGUGAAAUCCCCAGGCUUAACCUGGGAACUGCGUCUGAUACUGGAUGGCUUGAGAUUGGGAGAGGGAUGCGGAAUUCCAGGUGUAGCGGUGAAAUGCGUAGAUAUCUGGAGGAACACCGGUGGCGAAGGCGACAUCCUGGACCAACACUGACGCUGAGGAGCGAAAGCUAGGGGAGCAAACGGG